ensembl:lncRNA
CCUUAUCUAUUUAAAAUCUUCUACUGGACAACUCACACAGAACACCAAGUUCUUAGCAAUAAUUAGGGAAGGGAGAGAAUUCAGGGAGCAUUAUUUGCAAAACCGAGAACUGUGGAGGCAGGGCAGGGUACAUUGUCUUUAUGAACACAGCAGAGUUACUAGGCAUUUAUUUUCAUCUUCAUUUAACAGACUUAAAAAAAAGCCUUAAUUUUUAUUUUGGAGAAUAGUUGAUUAGCAAUGUUGUGUUUCAGGUGUAGAGCAAAGCAAGUCAGUUAUACACAUGCAUGUAUCUGUUCUUUUCCACAUUCUUUUCCCAUUUAGAUGUUACACAGUAUUGAGCAGUGCUAUAUGGUAGGUUCCCUGUGCUAUAUAGUAGGUUCUUAUUGGUUGUCCAUUUUUAUUUUUUAAAUUAAUUUUAUGGAAGUAUAGUUUCUUUACAGUUAGUUUAACAGACUCUUUGGAGAGCAGAUCCAAUGUGGGGGGUGGGGGCUGGUCUUGAAAAAGCCAAAGGUUGUAGUAGGCUUUAAAAAAGGCUAGAUCUUGCCUUUGAGGGGUGGUCUAGAUCAGGCCCUGAGGUUCUUUUUAAUAGAAAGAGAAGAAAGCUAUCCUCUUCUUAUGUGAUUACUUUCAAGAUUUCCCCUCAGGCUAUAUUCAAGAGGACCAGGAUCUAGUCUCUGCUGGAGACUUGUGAAAAAUACAAGGGAACUUGGAAAAGCCACGUGAAGGAGAGAGGAGCAGAAGUGCACUCAGAACUGUGUGAAGCGAGGCCAUGGUGUGAAGGCUCACCUGCCACCAUCCUGAAGCCCUGGUGACUACUCAUCGAGUC